GUGAGCGUUGAGGCCUCCAGGUCAUCAUGUGAGAGUCAGGCAGGAGGCGGCUCCCUGGCAAAUCUGCAGAGGUUUUUUUUUAAGGCAGUGGCCCCUCCCCGUUUCCUUCCCAGAGGUGGUGUUCUGCAGUUGCUCUCAGCGGGCUGUCAGGGUGAUUGCCUCCGGGUUUCCCAGUUGACUUCCUUGUGCUCUCUCUGCGUGCACGUUCCUCCCCCAGGUCACUGCAGCAGCAGCUCCAGAAUGACUUUUUUUUUCCAGCUUUAAUAAGACAUGAUUAGCAUACAGUAAAAUUCAUUAAUUUUAAUUGCGCUGUUCAAUAAGAUUUGGCAAAUGUAUACAGUUGUGUAACCACAACCACACUCAUGACACAGAAUAAACAUUUUUGACAUUCCAGAAAG